rnacentral:ncRNA from 8 species
UUCCCUUUGUCAUCCUAUGCCUG